GGUUAAGUGACUAAGCGUACACGGUGGAUGCCUUGGCAGUCAGAGGCGAUGAAAGACGUAGUAACUUGCGAUAAGCCCAGAUUAGGUAGUAACAACCAUUUGAGUCUGGGAUUUCUGAAUGGGGAAACCCACUUACAUAAGUAAGUAUCAUUAACUGAAUACAUAGGUUAAUGAGGCGAACCGGGGGAACUGAAACAUCUAAGUACCCCGAGGAAAAGAAAUCAACCGAGAUUCCGAAAGUAGCGGCGAGCGAAAUUGGACUAGCCCUUAAGCUUUAUAUGCGUUAGACGAACGGUCUGGAAAGUCCGGCGAUACAGGGUGAUAGCCCCGUAGUUGACAACGCACAUUCAGUGAAAUCGAGUAGGGCGGGACACGUGAUAUCCUGUCUGAAUAUGGGGGGACCAUCCUCCAAGGCUAAAUACUACUGACUGACCGAUAGUGAACCAGUACCGUGAGGGAAAGGCGAAAAGAACCCCUGUGAGGGGAGUGAAAUAGAACCUGAAACCGUGUACGUACAAGCAGUAGGAGCAGGCUUUGUCCUGUGACUGCGUACCUUUUGUAUAAUGGGUCAGCGACUUAUAUUCAGUGGCAAGGUUAACCAUCUAGGGGAGCCGUAGGGAAACCGAGUCUUAACUGGGCGUUCAGUCUCUGGAUAUAGACCCGAAACCAGGUGAUCUAGCCAUGGGCAGGUUGAAGGUUGAGUAACAUCAACUGGAGGACCGAACCGACUAAUGUUGAAAAAUUAGCGGAUGACUUGUGGCUAGGGGUGAAAGGCCAAUCAAACCUGGAGAUAGCUGGUUCUCCCCGAAAGCUAUUUAGGUAGCGCCUCGGACGAAUACUACUGGGGGUAGAGCACUGUUAAGGCUAGGGGGUCAUCCCGACUUACCAACCCUUUGCAAACUCCGAAUACCAGUAAGUACUAUCCGGGAGACACACGGCGGGUGCUAACGUCCGUCGUGGAGAGGGAAACAACCCAGACCGCCAGCUAAGGUCCCAAAUUACUACUAAGUGGGAAACGAUGUGGGAAGGCUCAGACAGCCAGGAUGUUGGCUUAGAAGCAGCCAUCAUUUAAAGAAAGCGUAAUAGCUCACUGGUCGAGUCGGCCUGCGCGGAAGAUGUAACGGGGCUAAGUAGUAAACCGAAGCUGCGGCAAUGUGCUUUUGCACAUUGGGUAGGGGAGCGUUCUGUAAGCGGUUGAAGGUGUGUGGUAACGCAUGCUGGACGUAUCAGAAGUGCGAAUGCUGACAUGAGUAACGAUAAAGGGGGUGAAAAACCUCCUCGCCGGAAGACCAAGGGUUCCUGUCCAACGUUAAUCGGGGCAGGGUAAGUCGACCCCUAAGGCGAGGCCGAAAGGCGUAGUCGAUGGGAAACGGGUUAAUAUUCCCGUACUUCUUACAAUUGCGAUGGGGGGACGGAGAAGGCUAGGUGGGCCUGGCGACGGUUGUCCAGGUUCAAGUGCGUAGGCUUAAGAGUUAGGUAAAUCCGGCUCUUUUUAAGGCUGAGACACGACGUCGAGCACCUACGGGUGUGAAGUCAUUGAUGCCAUGCUUCCAGGAAAAGCCUCUAAGCUUCAGAUUGUAAGGAAUCGUACCCCAAACCGACACAGGUGGUCGGGUAGAGAAUACCAAGGCGCUUGAGAGAACUCGGGUGAAGGAACUAGGCAAAAUGGUACCGUAACUUCGGGAGAAGGUACGCUCUUGAUGGUGAAGUCCCUCGCGGAUGGAGCUGACGAGAGUCGCAGAUACCAGGUGGCUGCAACUGUUUAUUAAAAACACAGCACUGUGCAAAAUCGUAAGAUGACGUAUACGGUGUGACGCCUGCCCGGUGCCGGAAGGUUAAUUGAUGGGGUUAGACUUCGGUCGAAGCUCUUGAUCGAAGCCCCGGUAAACGGCGGCCGUAACUAUAACGGUCCUAAGGUAGCGAAAUUCCUUGUCGGGUAAGUUCCGACCUGCACGAAUGGCGUAAUGAUGGCCACGCUGUCUCCACCCGAGACUCAGUGAAAUUGAAAUCGCUGUGAAGAUGCAGUGUACCCGCGGCUAGACGGAAAGACCCCGUGAACCUUUACUACAGCUUGGCACUGAACAUUGACCCUACAUGUGUAGGAUAGGUGGGAGGCUUUGAAGCACGUACGCCAGUAUGUGUGGAGCCGUCCUUGAAAUACCACCCUUGUAGUGUUGAUGUUCUAACGUCGACCCCUAAUCGGGGUUGCGGACAGUGCCUGGUGGGUAGUUUGACUGGGGCGGUCUCCUCCCAAAGAGUAACGGAGGAGCACGAAGGUGGGCUAAUCACGGUUGGACAUCGUGAGGUUAGUGCAAUGGCAUAAGCCCGCUUGACUGCGAGAAUGACAAUUCGAGCAGGUGCGAAAGCAGGUCAUAGUGAUCCGGUGGUUCUGAAUGGAAGGGCCAUCGCUCAACGGAUAAAAGGUACUCCGGGGAUAACAGGCUGAUACCGCCCAAGAGUUCAUAUCGACGGCGGUGUUUGGCACCUCGAUGUCGGCUCAUCACAUCCUGGGGCUGAAGUCGGUCCCAAGGGUAUGGCUGUUCGCCAUUUAAAGUGGUACGCGAGCUGGGUUUAGAACGUCGUGAGACAGUUCGGUCCCUAUCUGCCGUGGGCGUUGGAAGAUUGAAGGGGGCUGCUCCUAGUACGAGAGGACCGGAGUGGACGAACCUCUGGUGUUCGGGUUGUGUCGCCAGACGCAUUGCCCGGUAGCUAAGUUCGGAAUCGAUAACCGCUGAAAGCAUCUAAGCGGGAAGCGAGCCCUGAGAUGAGUCUUCCCUGAUACUUUAAGUAUCCUAAAGGGUUGUCGGAGACUACGACGUUGAUAGGUCAGGUGUGUAAGUGCUGUGAGGCAUUGAGCUAACUGAUACUAAUUGCCCGUGAGGCUUAACCAU
rnacentral:rRNA from 1 species